rnacentral:lncRNA from 1 species
GGGCAGCAACGGCGACGGGGCGGUCGCAGAGCCCGGGGCUGGUCCUGUGCGGGAACCAGCGCGGCUGCGCCGCUUCCUCAGCCGCGGGUUAGUGAUAUGCGCGCCGCUGCUUCCUUUUCUACUUGAAGAACCCUCAUGACACCCUGCCCCUUGGCCGCAUGGACAUCGCUGAAGCCUGCUUCAGCUGCAGCGCGCCGACGAGGCAGCAGAACCGCCCGCGCACUUCCAGGUGCGGGAGCCGCCACGGUGCUUCAGUGUGACCCUGAUUACACCUCUUCUGGCUCAGUCACACAGCUGUGUGGUAGGCAACUGGAGGUGUUUAGCAGUCGUUGCCAGGAUCAUACUGAUGUGGCCACAAUUUCGCCUCUUUCCCUGCCCUGCGAUGUCCAAAGAAACCUGACAGAGCAAAUUGGCCACAACCAACAAAAAGGAAAAAACAGAACCAAGAAAUUGUGGAUCAGUUGGAAGAAGUAA